ACAUUGGUGGUUCAGUGGUAGAACUCUCACCUUCUACGUGGUAGACCUGGCUUGAAUCCCAGCCAAUGCA
rnacentral:tRNA from 1 species